GUAUCGAUAGCGCAAUUGGUCAAUCACACGCUCCUGGGGAAAGGGUGAAAUGCGGGUUCGAGUCCCGCCCGGCGUG